AGAGUUUGAUCCUGGCUCAGAACGAACGCUGGCGGCAGGCCUAACACAUGCAAGUCGAGCGGACCCUUCGGGGUUAGCGGCAGACGGGUGAGUAACGCGUGGGAACCUACCCAGUGGUACGGAAUAGCCCAGGGAAACUUGGGGUAAUACCGUAUACGCCCGAGAGGGGAAAGAUUUUAUCGCCAUUGGAUGGGCCCGCGUCGGAUUAGCUAGUUGGUGGGGUAAUGGCCUACCAAGGCGACGAUCCGUAGCUGGUCUGAGAGGAUGAUCAGCCACACUGGGACUGAGACACGGCCCAGACUCCUACGGGAGGCAGCAGUGGGGAAUAUUGGACAAUGGGCGAAAGCCUGAUCCAGCCAUGGCCGCGUGAGUGACGAAGGUCUUCGGAUUGUAAAGCUCUUUUGGCGGGGAAGAUAAUGACGGUACCCGCAGAAUAAGCCCCGGCUAACUUCGUGCCAGCAGCCGCGGUAAUACGAAGGGGGCUAGCGUUGUUCGGAAUCACUGGGCGUAAAGCGCACGUAGGCGGAUUUGCCAGUCAGGGGUGAAAUCCCGGGGCUCAACCUCGGAACUGCCUCUGAUACAGCAAGUCUAGAGUCCGGGAGAGGUGAGUGGAAUUCCUAGCGUAGAGGUGAAAUUCGUAGAUAUUAGGAGGAACACCAGUGGCGAAGGCGGCUCACUGGUCCGGCACUGACGCUGAGGUGCGAAAGC
rnacentral:rRNA from 1 species